rnacentral:rRNA from 1 species
UAAGACGAACCGUGCGAACGUUAUUCGGAAUCAUUGGGCUUAAAGGGCGCGUAGGCGGCUUUGACAGUCGAAGGUGAAAUCCCACCGGCUCAACCGUGGAAUUGCCUUCGAUACUACAAGGCUUGAGAGAGCUAGGGGCAUGUGGAACUUCCGGUGGAGCGGUGAAAUGUGUUGAUAUCGGAGGGAACGCCAGUGGCGAAAGCGGCAUGCUGGAUCUCAACUGACGCUGAGGCGCGAAAGCCAGGGGAGCGAACGGGAUUAGAUACCCCGGUAGUCCUGGCCCUAAACGAUGGGCACUGAGUAGGAAGGGCUCCGAUGGCCCCUCCUGCUGAAGCAAAAGUGUUAAGUGCCCCGCCUGGGGAGUAUGGUCGCAAGGCUG